rnacentral:misc_RNA from 1 species
GACAAACUUAACAUUCUUCUAAUAUUUUACUUAUGCAUGGAUGAUUAGUCUAUACAGAAUUCUACAUGAUCAUAUUUCCACUUCUGUCCAAGGAUAUCCAAACUUUGUUUCAGGAAAUGGAUGGUAGUUUAUACAGUUAAUAAAUUACAGUAUAUAUUCUGAAAAUGAUGUAGUGUAUAUGUCUCUAAACACGGUUGAAUGGUGAAGAUUAAUCUUUGUUGCCAAACCUUUUGAGAAAUUUUUGAGUUAUUGAAUGCACAUUUUAUGGUGUGUAAUUGUCGUGCAUAACAUAUUGCUGCACAUUGGGAAAUUGUUGUAUAUAAAUUUUGUUUCUGGACAUCUUAGUUUAGUAUGCAUAUGAUAAAUUUUGUCUCUGGACAUCUUAGUUUAGUGUGGAUAUAAUCUUGAAUCCUAUCGUUUGACUAUAUCCUUUUCUUAUUUAAUAGCUUAUUGGGAAAUGUUGUUGUUAAAGUGUUACCAGAUCUUUAAAUUAUUG